UACGGAGGGUGCGAGCGUUGUCCGGAAUCACUGGGCGUAAAGGGUGCGUAGGCGGUCGGGUAAGUCGGAUGUGAAAUCUCAGGGCUCAACCCUGAAACUGCAUUCGAUACUGCCUGGCUAGGGUACUGGAGAGGAGACUGGAAUUUACGGUGUAGCAGUGAAAUGCGUAGAUAUGCGGAGGAACACCGAUGGCGAAGGCAAUCCCCUGGACCUGUACUGACGCUCAUGCACGAAAGCGUGGGGAGCAAACAGG
rnacentral:rRNA from 1 species